rnacentral:SRP_RNA from 1 species
AGUCUUGGUCUUACGCAAUGAGAGCUUGUGAACCGUGUCAGGUUGGGAACAAAGCAGCACUAAGCAAAAUCUUUCAUGUGCCGUAAGGGUGCCUGGGCCGAGU